rnacentral:rRNA from 1 species
GACGUAGGGCGCGAGCGUUGUCCGGAUUUAUUGGGCGUAAAGAGCUCGUAGGCGGCUUGUUGCGUCGACCGUGAAAACCCGUGGCUCAACUGCGGGCUUGCGGUCGAUACGGGCAGGCUAGAGUUCGGUAGGGGAGACUGGAAUUCCUGGUGUAGCGGUGAAAUGCGCAGAUAUCAGGAGGAACACCGGUGGCGAAGGCGGGUCUCUGGGCCGAUAUUGACGCUGAGGAGCGAAAGCGUGGGGAGCAAACAGG